rnacentral:rRNA from 1 species
AGUGAACGCUGGCGGUAGGCCUAACACAUGCAAGUCGAACGGCAGCACAGAGGAGCUUGCUCCUUGGGUGGCGAGUGGCGGACGGGUGAGGAAUACAUCGGAAUCUACCCUGUCGUGGGGGAUAACGUAGGGAAACUUACGCUAAUACCGCAUACGACCUUCGGGUGAAAGAGGGGGCUCGCAAGACCUCUCGCGAUUGGAUGAGCCGAUGUCGGAUUAGCUAGUUGGCGGGGUAAAGGCCCACCAAGGCGACGAUCCGUAGCUGGUCUGAGAGGAUGAUCAGCCACACUGGAACUGAGACACGGUCCAGACUCCUACGGGAGGCAGCAGUGGGGAAUAUUGGACAAUGGGCGCAAGCCUGAUCCAGCCAUACCGCGUGGGUGAAGAAGGCCUUCGGGUUGUAAAGCCCUUUUGUUGGGAAAGAAAUCCUGUCGGUUAAUACCCGGCGGGGAUGACGGUACCCAAAGAAUAAGCACCGGCUAACUUCGUGCCAGCCGCCGCGGUAAUAC